UAAUAACUCUGCAUUAACUUUCACCUGUCUUUUCACAAUACUACAAUUUGUUGGUUAUUACAAUAUUUAUCAAAGAAAUGAAAACAAAGGUUUGGCUUGUCCCUAGAGAUAAUUGGAAGUUUUAAAUAACACUCCAUACAUUUCUUUCUGGUGGAAAGAAGGAGGGUUAAUGUGAUUUCAGCUCUUGACGAAGAGGAGUUUAUAUAAAAAAAAAUAUAUUCACAGUUUUCCACGUAGAGUGGUCGAAUUACCAUAUAAAUUAGCGACAUCAAGCUUUGGUGAGAUUAAAACAACAACUCAACUCCAUUUCUCUAGCUGACAAUUGAAACGUGAGUAAUUGGCAAAUUAUUCCCCAUUCCCAUUUUGAGGCUGCAGAAGUCAUUUUCUGAGACAAUCUUAUUAACUACUACUUCAAGAGAAAAACAAAAUAUUGAAGAAGAAACAAAGAACCCUCUCGAGAGAAAUGCGAUAAUCUUCAUUGUUCGCUCUCAGUAUCUCACUUCAAUGUCUUCUCUUCUGGAAGAUUUUUCAAAAGUA
rnacentral:lncRNA from 1 species